GAGUGGGAAAAACUUCCUAAAAAGAGUUAGUAUUGCGAUGUCGAGGAGUUCGGGAUCUGGUGACUUGAACAAGCAAAGCGCUCCAUCAACGGCUACUGAAGACAGAAAACAAAGUGUUAGCCAGGGUGCAGGAGAAUCAAAGGAAAAAGAGAGACGAAGAGCAGACAAAAAGGAUGGCAAAAAGCAAUACACAGCAGAAGAAUUCCGAGCACUAAAAAAGAAAGUUCAGUCCACAGGAAAGUUA